rnacentral:lncRNA from 1 species
CACUUCUUCCUUCUGCAGAACUCACCUCAAUUUAUAGAGAAAUUUGGGCUGCAAAUUUCUUCCCCUAUAGCCACCUACAGCCGCAAUUGUAGAAUGGAACUCAUAGGAGGAGGCUGCAAAUCUUGCAAUUUGCUGCAUUGCCGAGGAUUAAGGUGGGCUGCAGCUAUUUUUUCUUGCUGCCAAUUUUCUUCAAAUCAACUAUUGGGAACUAUUACAAUAAAUGCAAUAUUUCAUCUCCACAGCCAUUGUCAAAUUUUGUUGGCUUGUGGGACCAUUCCACAUGAAGUGGAAAUAGUUCAACA